rnacentral:rRNA from 1 species
AUUGAACGCUGGCGGCAUGCCUUACACAUGCAAGUCGAACGGUAACAGGUCUUCGGAUGCUGACGAGUGGCGAACGGGUGAGUAAUAUAUCGGAACGUGCCCAGUCGUGGGGGAUAACGCAGCGAAAGCUGUGCUAAUACCGCAUACGAUCUAUGGAUGAAAGCGGGGGAUCGCAAGACCUCGCGCGAUUGGAGCGGCCGAUAUCAGAUUAGGUAGUUGGUGGGGUAAAGGCCCACCAAGCCAACGAUCUGUAGCUGGUCUGAGAGGACGACCAGCCACACUGGAACUGAGACACGGUCCAGACUCCUACGGGAGGCAGCAGUGGGGAAUUUUGGACAAUGGCGCAAGCCUGAUCCAGCAAUGCCGCGUGCAGGAUGAAGGCCUUCGGGUUGUAAACUGCUUUUGUACGGAACGAAAAGGCUCUGGUUAAUACCUGGGGCUCAUGACGGUACCGUAAGAAUAAGCACCGGCUAACUACGUGCC